UGGGUCGGCCGGACGGUCGCGUCGCGGUGCUCCGGUGCCGCGCCGAGGAACGUCCGGGCUGCACAGAGGAGAGCGGUGGGUAACGCCCACCCGGGGCAACCCGCGAGAAAGUGCCACAGAGAGUAGACCGCCGGAUCCGGUUCGCCGCAUCCGGUAAGGGUGAAAGGGUGGGGUAAGAGCCCACCGGCGCCCGUGGUGACACGGGCGGCCAGGUAAACCUCGUUCGCAGCAAGGCCAGACAGCAGACGUUGACGCUCCUCGCCGAGUCUGCGGGUAGGCCGCUAGAGGGUGUCGGCAACGGCUCCCCGAGAGAGAUGACCGUCACUGCUUCGGCAGUACAGAACCCGGCGUACAGGCCGGCCCAUUCC
rnacentral:RNase_P_RNA from 1 species